GAUGAACGCUGGCGGCGUGCCUAAUACAUGCAAGUCGAGCGAACAGACGAGGAGCUUGCUCCUCUGACGUUAGCGGCGGACGGGUGAGUAACACGUGGAUAACCUACCUAUAAGACUGGGAUAACUUCGGGAAACCGGAGCUAAUACCGGAUAAUAUAUUGAACCGCAUGGUUCAAUAGUGAAAGACGGUUUUGCUGUCACUUAUAGAUGGAUCCGCGCCGCAUUAGCUAGUUGGUAAGGUAACGGCUUACCAAGGCAACGAUGCGUAGCCGACCUGAGAGGGUGAUCGGCCACACUAGAACUGAGACACGGUCCAGACGCCUACGGGAGGCAGCAGUAGGGAAUCGUCCGCAAUGGGCGAAAGCUUGACGGAGCAACGCCGCGUGAGUGAUGAAGGUCUUCGGGUCGUAAAACUCUGUUAUUAGGGAAAAAGAAAUGUGUAAGUAACUAUGCACGUCUUGACGGUACCUAAUCAGAAAGCCACGGCUAACUACGUG
rnacentral:rRNA from 1 species